UCCCAGCUGGCUCAGAUGGUAAAGAAUCCGCCUGCAAUGCAGGAGACCCAGGUUCAAUCCCUGGGUCAGGAA
rfam:TPA: Bos taurus chromosome 21, whole genome shotgun sequence.